GCAUGUGCACGUCUUUUGUUGCUUAUUUCAUUCAUCUUUCCUCCUGUGCACGUUUUGUAGACACUUGGGAAUGAGAGGUUGGUUGUAAUGUAAUGAUUGACCUCUGGGUGUCUAUGGCAUUUUUAUAAACACGACUGGAUGUGUAUAGAAUGAGAUUGUAGGUUUUUAAUAAAAAGCCAUUAAAUGAUGAAGUACAACUUUCAACAACGGAUCUCUUGGCUCUCGCAUCGAUGAAGAACACCGCGAAAUGCGAUAAGUAAUGUGAAUUGCUGAAUUCAGUGAAUCAUCGAAUCUUUGAAUGCAUCUUGCGCUCCUUGGUAUUCCUAGGAGCAUGCCUGUUUGAGUGUCAUUCAAGCAUCUCAUAAGGUCGUUAUGCAGCAUGCUGGGAACUAUUGGACGUUGGUAGUAGCUGGUCACUGAUAAUGUGGCUGGCUCUUCUGAUAAGCAUUAGUUGAUGAGAUUUUUGUGCUCUAUUGGUGUGAUAGACUAUCUAUGCCAGGAGAAGCAUUGUGAAGCCUCUGCUGUCUAACAGUCGUAAUUGUACAAUAUGAUAAACUUGACCACGCAUGUGCACGUCUUUUGUUGCUUAUUUCAUUCAUCUUUCCUCCUGUGCACGUUUUGUAGACACUUGGGAAUGAGAGGUUGGUUGUAAUGUAAUGAUUGACCUCUGGGUGUCUAUGGCAUUUUUAUAAACACGACUGGAUGUGUAUAGAAUGAGAUUGUAGGUUUUUAAUAAAAAGCCAUUAAAUGAUGAAGUACAACUUUCAACAACGGAUCUCUUGGCUCUCGCAUCGAUGAAGAACACCGCGAAAUGCGAUAAGUAAUGUGAAUUGCUGAAUUCAGUGAAUCAUCGAAUCUUUGAAUGCAUCUUGCGCUCCUUGGUAUUCCUAGGAGCAUGCCUGUUUGAGUGUCAUUCAAGCAUCUCAUAAGGUCGUUAUGCAGCAUGCUGGGAACUAUUGGACGUUGGUAGUAGCUGGUCACUGAUAAUGUGGCUGGCUCUUCUGAUAAGCAUUAGUUGAUGAGAUUUUUGUGCUCUAUUGGUGUGAUAGACUAUCUAUGCCAGGAGAAGCAUUGUGAAGCCUCUGCUGUCUAACAGUCGUAAUUGUACAAUAUGAUAAACUUGACCAC
rnacentral:misc_RNA from 1 species